rnacentral:rRNA from 1 species
CGAUACGGGACUCUAUUGAGGCCCCGUAAUCGGAAUGAGUACACUUUAAAUCCUUUAACAAGGAUCCAUUGGAGGGCAAGUCUGGUGCCAGCAGCCGCGGUAAUUCCAGCUCCAAUAGCGUAUAUUAAAGUUGUUGCGGUUAAAAAGCUCGUAGUUGGUUCUGCGUGCCACGCUGUCGGUUUGCCGCCUGUCGGUGUAACUGGCAUGUCGUGGCAUGUCCUGUCGGUGGUGAAUGGGAUACCUGGUUGGAUGUAGGCUUUAAUAGCUGAAAUCUAUACCGUGUGUGUUUCUGUUUGCCGAUUUCUCCUAUUUCAGUGCUUUUAAACGAGUGUUGAGGUAGGCCGACACGUUCACUUUGAACAAAUUAGAGUGCUUAAAGCAGGCUAAAAUAUCUGCCUGAAUAGUGGUGCAUGGAAUGAUAGAACAGGACCUCGGUUCUAUUUUGUUGGUUUUAGGAAUAUGAGGUAAUGAUCAAUGUGGACUGGCGGGGGCAUUCGUAUUGCGACGUUAGAGGUGAAAUUCUUGGAUCGUCGCAAGACGCACUAGAGCGAAAGCAUUUGCCAAGUAUGUCUUAAUUGAUCAAGAACGAAAGUUAGAGGUUCGAAGGCGAUCAGAUACCGCCCUAGUUCUAACCAUAAACGAUGCCAGCCAGCGAUCCGCCGAUGUUCCUUUAAUGACUCGGCGGGGAGCUUCUACCCGGGAAACCAAAGCUUUUGGGUUCCGGGGGAAGUAUGGUUGCAAAGCUGAAACUUAAAGGAAU